CGCGUAGGUGGUUGCGUCAGUCGGAUGUGAAAUCCCCGGGCUUAACCCGGGAACUGCAGUCCGAUACUGCGUGACUCGAGUGCAGCAGAGGGAAACGGAAUUCCUGGUGUAGAGGUGAAAUUCGUAGAUAUCAGGAGGAACACCGGUGGCGAAGGCGGUUUCCUGGGCUGACACUGACACUGAGGCGCGAAAGCGUGGGUAGCGAAACAGGAUUAGAUACCCUGGUAGUCCACGCUGUAAACGGUGAGUGCUGGGUGUGGGAGGUGGUAAUGCCUUCUGUGCCGAAGCUAACGCGUUAAGCACUCCGCCUGGGGAGUACGGCCGCAAGGUUGAA
rnacentral:rRNA from 1 species